rnacentral:rRNA from 1 species
UCCUCUGACAACCCUAGAGAUAGGGCUUCUCCUUCGGGAGCAGAGUGACAGGUGGUGCAUGGUGUCGUCAGCUCGUGUCGUGAGAUGUUGAGUUAAGUCCCGCAACGAGCGCAACCCUUGAUCUUAGUUGCCAUCAUUAAGUUGGGCACUCUAAGGUGACUGCCGGUGACAAACCGGAGGAAGGUGGGGAUGACGUCAAAUCAUCAUGCCCCUUAUGACCUGGGCUACACACGUGCUACAAUGGACGGUACAAAGAGCUGCAAGACCGCGAGGUGGAGCUAAUCUCAUAAAACCGUUCUCAGUUCGGAUUGUAGGCUGCAACUCGCCUACAUGAAGCUGGAAUCGCUAGUAAUCGCGGAUCAGCAUGCCGCGGUGAAUACGUUCCCGGGCCUUGUACACACCGCCCGUCACACCACGAGAGUUUGUAACACCCGAAGUCGGUGGGGUAACCUUUUUGGAGCCAGCCGCCUAAGGUGGGACAGAUGAUUGGGGUGAAGUCGUAACAAGGUAACCUA